UUUUCCAGAUCAGUUUACUGUUUGCCCAGUAGACUGGUUGCCCACUGAAGCUAAGCAGGGUUGAGCCUGGUCAGUACCUGGAUGGGAGACCUCCUGGGAAAACUAGUUUGCUGCUGGAAGAG
rnacentral:rRNA from 1 species